rnacentral:rRNA from 1 species
UGGGGAAUAUUGGGCAAUGGGGAAAGCCAUGACCCACGCAACGCCGCGCUGAAGGAAGAAGGCCAUUCGGGCUUGGUUAACAUCUUUAUCACGGAGCGAAGGAAGUGACGGUACCUGGAGAAAAAGCAACGGCUAACUACGUGCCAGCAGCCGCGGUAAUAUGUAGGUUGCGAGCGUUGUCCGGAUUUACUGGGUGUAAAGGGCGUGUAGGCGGAGAAGCAAGUUGGGAGUGAAAUCUAUGGGCUCAACCCAUAAACUGCUCUCAAAACUGUUUCCCUUGAGUAUCGGAGAGGCAAGCGGAAUUCCUAGUGUAGCGGUGAAAUGCGUAGAUAUUAGGAGGAACACCAGUGGCGAAGGCGGCUUGCUGGACGACAACUGACGCUGAGGCGCGAAAGCGUGGGGAGCAAACAGGAUUAGAUACCC